rnacentral:misc_RNA from 1 species
CAGAGUUGCAAGACUCCCUAAACCAUGUGAACCUACCUUCUACCGUUGCUUCGGCGGGCGGGCCCAGCGCCCCCCCGGCCCCCCGCGGGCGCCCGCCGGAGGAUACCCAAACUCUUGACAUUAGUGGCCUCUCUGAGUAUUCUUUACUGAAUAAGUCA